rnacentral:rRNA from 1 species
AUUGAACGCUGGCGGCAGGCUUAACACAUGCAAGUCGAGCGAGCGGCGGACGGGUGCGUAAUGUCUGGGAAACUGCCUGAUGGAGGGGGAUAACUACUGGAAACGGUAGCUAAUACCGCAUAACAUCAGAUGUGCCCAGAUGGGCUUAGCUAGUAGGUGGGAUAAUGGCUCACUUAGGCGACGAUCCCUAGCUGGUCUGAGAGGAUGACCAGCCAAACUGGAAAUGAGACACGGUCCAGAUUCCUACGGGAGGCAGAAGUGGGGAAUAUUGCACAAUGGGCGCAAGCCUGAUGCAGCCAUGCCGGGUGUGUGAAGAAGGCUUUCGGGGGGUAAAGUACUUUCAGCGAGGAGGCGUUACUCGCCGAAGAAGCACCGGCUAACUACGUGCCAGCAGCCGCGGUAAUUC